rnacentral:rRNA from 1 species
AUUGAACGCUGGCGGCAGGCCUAACACAUGCAAGUCGAACGAGUGGCGGACGGGUGAGUAAUGUCUGGGAAAAUGCCCGAUGGAGGGGGAUAACUACUGGAAACGGUAGCUAAUACCGCAUACCAUCGGAUGUGCCCAGAUUGGAUUAGCUUGUAGGUGAGGUAACGGCUCAACUAGGCGACGAUCCCUAGCUGGUCUGAGAGGAUGACCAGACACACUGGAAAUGGGACACGGUCGAGACUCCUAGGGAUGGCAGCAUGGGUGAAUAUUGCAUAAUGGGCGCAUGCCUGAAGCAGCCCUGGCGCGUGUAUGAAGAAGGCCUUCGGUUUGUAAAUUACUUUCAGCGGGGAGGCGUUACCCGCAGAAGAAGCCCCGGCUAAUGCCGUGCCAGCAGCCGCGGUAAUUC